rnacentral:lncRNA from 1 species
UUAGGUCCGGUUUGGAUGGAUAGUUAAAAAAUUUUAUAAAAUUUUUAUUCUAUAAUUUUAGUCUAAAUGAAAUACGAAAUUAUGUAACUAUAAAAAAAUUUUACAGUUUUAUUUUUAGGCAGUUUGGAUACAUAUCAUACAAUUCCACAGUAUUUAUAACAAUUAAAUUUUUAAAAUUUUAAAAUUCAAAAUUCAAAAUUCAAAAUUUAAAAAUAAAAUUUUAAAAAUUAAAAUUCAAAAUUCAAAAUAUAAAAUUAAAAUUUAAAAUUUAAAAUUUAAAAAUUAAAUUAGAUUUUAUGUUUUAAAUUUGAAAUUUGAAAUUUGGAAUUUGAAAUUUA